rnacentral:rRNA from 1 species
UACGAGGGGGCUAGUGUUGUUCGGAAUCACUGGGCGUAAAGGGAGCGUAGGCGGGCGUUUAAGUUAGGUGUUUAGUCCCGGGGCCCAACCCCGGACCGGCAGCCUAAAACUGGACGUCUUGAAUAGUGGAGAGGUCGGGUGGAAUUGGAGGUGUGAGCGGUGGAAUGCGUAGAGAUCGUCCAAGAAGACCCGUUGCGAAGGCGGCCGACUGGACGACAUA